rnacentral:rRNA from 1 species
AUUGAACGCUAGCGGGAUGCUUUACACAUGCAAGUCGAACGAGUGGCGGACGGGUGAGUAAUAUAUCGGAACCUGCCCAAUAGCGGGGGAUAACUACUGGAAAGGGUGGCUAAUACCGCAUACCAUCGGAGCGGCCGAUAUGGGAUUAGCUAGUGGGUGGGGUAAAGGCUCACCAAGGCAACGAUCCGUAGCUGGUCUGAGAGGACGACCAGCCACACUGGGACUGAGACACGGCCCAGACUCCUACGGGAGGCAGCAGUGGGGAAUUUUGGACAAUGGGCGAAACCCUGAUGCAGCCAUCCCGCGUGUAUGAGAAGGCCUUCGGGUUUUAAAGUACUUUUGGCAGAGAAGCGGUAUCUGCAGAAUAAGCACCGGCUAACUACGUGCCAGCAGCCGCGGUAAUAC